AAGCUCUUACAAACUUGGGAAAAAAAAGAAGUAUAACAAAACACAAUAUAAUCUACUAAAAACAAGUAAAACAGUUGUUGAUGCAUAUGCUCAACAAGAGCACUUCAUUAUGCCAAUCUAAUCUACUAAAAAAAAGUAAAACAAUUGUUGAUGCAUACACCCAAUAAGAGCACUUCAUUAUGCCAAUCAAAGCCAAGAAACCAACUUCGCCUAGUGGUGUCCCGAACACAAGAUUUUGUUUUCACUGGAGACAAAAACACAAAGAAGGCUAAAAUAAGGGAGAUGCACAUCAGUUUAAAACAAUACUACAAUAUUUGAGUUACUAUAACUCUUUUCAUAGAGCUUCUAUUCAACUAUAUGUUUUGCUAUAGAAAUUAAAAGAAAGCACGAAAUUGUUGAAGUAAGAAGAAAAGAUGUUAUCGGAUGAGUCUUCCAUGGCCAAAAUGCACAAACAUUAAACAUACCCUCAUUUGAGCCCCAUACAAAGCCAUAUUUACGUUAAGUCCCAUCACGCUUUUAUCCAUUGAGUAUUCAAAACACAAGACUAAUGAAUGUGAGACAGAUAGAAACUACUCCCUUUAGGACCCAUACCAAGUGGUAAUGUUACCAUUGCCAUUGAGAGACAUGUCCUCCCACCUAGGUUACAACUAUUAUAAAUAUUUACAAUGUACCACACUACUGAAUUUUUAGCAAUAUGCCUCACAAAACAUGGUAGCAAGGCAAUGCCCACUCCCUUCUUCUUUAGCAGAUAUGCAUAACUACUUUCUCCCCUCCAAACAAUCAAAACCACAGUAUAGUCACUAAUACAAAAAAGGGCAAAGAUAACACCGCUAAAUUAACUCUUAUCUUAGCAACUGUUAUGUAAAGUCUAAAUUUAACGUUUUGAGAGAAGAACUGUUAUCUUAGCUUGUAUUGAUAAUAUAUCAGUUAACACUUAUCUUAAUGUGUGUUAUCUUUGCCAUAAAAUUAUUAUGUGGUGCUUUAUUUUUAUUUUUUUAUGAGAACGUGGUGCUUUAUUAAUAAUAACAAAUUAUGUUAAAAUAAUUAUGUUGAAAAAUAACCAUUUACUUGGCUAGAAAUUAGGAACAAAAUUCUGCAACUGAAGUACUGAACCAAUAACUGUACUCGACUCAAAUUUUCUGCCUCCGAUUUCCACCUCCGUUCCCUCCUUUGGUUCCCACCUCUGUUCCCCCCUUCAGUUCCACCUCCGGUUCUCACCUCCGACUCUCAUCUUUGAUUCCCCCCCUCCGGCUCUCAUCUUUGAUUCCAGCAGACUUCGUGGAAACAUUCUUUGGAAUUCGCAAGUUCAUUCUACGAAGCAAGUCGUUUUGGGAGAAACCGACAACCAUAAUCGCCAUUGUUACCGAGAAUUAAAGUUAUUAUAGUGCUGGGUGAGUACCAAACAUAAUGGCACAUAUGGCUUUCAAGACCUCGACUUACUCCUCCGAUGGCCGCUUACCUUUCUUUCUAUCUCCUCCCCAGGAACUUAUGAGUCACAUGAGGAUUGAAGAGGCAAACCGCAUCAAGGAUAAUCAGGACUGUCGUUGUCAAUGUUACCAAAGCUAACCUGGUGGAAACUGCUACUACUUCAUCAGGAUGUGAUAAGUUUAAAGGUAAAGAUAAUAAGGUCAACAACAAAGGUAACAAGCAAGGAAAAUUUAACAAACUUGAUCAUAAGAUUCAGAAGAGCGAGGUCUGUUCUUUGCUACGUAUGUGGCAAGCCUGAUCAUAAGGCUUACCAAUGUCCUCAAUGCCAAGGUUGUGUUAAAAAACCAGCACCUCUCGCUAACCUUGCUGAAUCUGAUGACAUUGUCAUUGUUGUGGUUAUUGAAGUGAAUCUGGUUGAGAAUAGGUUUGAUUGGAUUUUGGACACUGGGGCUUCGAGGCAUUUCUAUGCAAACAAGGAGCUUCUCCAUGACUUCCAGGAUGCUAUUGAAGGCAAGUGUAUCUACUUGGGUAACUCUUCAACUGCAGGAGUGCUUGGACAAUCAAAGGUCACUCUAAAACUUACCUCUGGAAAAACCCUUCCCUUUCAAAUGUAUUGUAUGUUCCUACUAUGCGUUGCAACCUAAUGUCUGGUGCCUUGUUAAACAGAGCUGAUUCCAAAAUUAUUUUUGAGGCUGACAAGGUUGUAAUGACUCAUGGUGUGGAGUUUGUGGGGGAAAAGAUAUUUAGGUGGUGGUUUAUUUAUUUUGAAUGUUGCUUCUUCUGUUUCUCCUGGUCUUAAUAAAGCUAAUUUUGGUUCUCCUUAUAUUAUCGAGUCUUUCAAUUUAUGGCAUAAUAGGUUAGGGCAUGUGAAUGUUGCUUUCAUUAAGAGACUAAGGACCCUAGAUUUAAUUCCUAAUCUAUCCACAACAGAGUUUUUAAGUGUCCAGUUUGUGUUUAAGUAAAAUUUACUAAGAAAUGUUCCAAAACCAUGACCCAAAGGACCUCACAACUUCUAGAGUUAGUUCAUACGGACUUAGCUGACUUGCAGAACAAUAGAAGUAGAGGAGGAAAAUUUUGGUACAUUUCCUUUGUUGAUGAUUACUCAAGGUACACUAAGUUAUACCUUCUUAAAGCCAAAAGUGACGCAAGGGAAUCUUUUAUAAAGUAUAAGGUUGAAGUAGAAAACCAACUUGAUAGGAAAGUCAAGAGGGUUAGGUCUGAUGAGAACAACUCUUUGAAUGAACAUUCAUGACUUUACUGCCCCCUAUGUACCUAAACAAAAUGGUAUAGCGGAACGAGAAAACAUGUCUUUCAAAAAUAUGAUGAAUGUUAUGCUUGUAAGUUUUGGGUUGCCUGAUGAUAUGUGGGGGGAAGCAGUCCUUUCAGCCUGUCAUGUUCUUAACCGAGUACCUCACAAAAAGUUAGAUAAAACUCCUUAUGAACUAUGGAAGGGUCUCCUCCAAACAUGACUUUACUUAGAGUGUGGGUGGGGGAGUCUAGCUAAAGUUGGGUUACCUGAUUAUCAGAAGUCAAACAUUGGACACAAGAGUUUUGAUGUUGUAUUUAUUGGUUAUGCUCAUGCUGCUUAUACAUUUAUGACUUUGAGCGAUUGGUCUAUUUGUGAAUACAAAGAUGCUAAGUUUUUUGAACACGUUUUUUCUUUAAAAAAAGGGUGAUCGAUAUUGCAUCUAUGCCUUCUUGUUCUUCUCAUGCUUUUGAUUUAUCUACUUGUUCUACGCCUGAUGUUAUUUUACCUACUAGUGAUAUUCCUGCUGAUUUGAAUUUAAGUAGUACUUCACUUGACAUGCAUGCUAGUAGUUCUUAUGCUGUAGACGAGCCUAAGAGAAAUAAAAGACCUAGAGUAGCGAAACACUAGUAGAAAAACGACGAUUUACGUCCCCUGAUUUGCGUCGCACUAACACGAAAGUGACGCAGAAAACCUAUUUGCGUCGCACAUGAAGAAGAAUGCGACGCACAUCAUGUGUAAACUAGCACCAGGAUAAGCUAUCUGCGUUGCAUCGACCAGAAGUGCGUUGCAAAAGCUCAAUGUGCGUCGGACCACGUGGCCCAAACGACGCAAAUGAAUAUCCCUAUCUGCGUCGCAUCGUAUUUGAGUGCGUUGCAAAAGACCAAAUUGCGUCGGACAUCCUGGCCCAUCCGACGCACAUUUGCGGCCCAACCAAAUUCAGCCCACCGCGCCCCUUAACAUAUCCCUUAACCUAACUGAUCUCUCUCAAUUUCUCACUCCUCUAUGCGCCGCUUCAGGUUUCCUCUCAAAUUCUCACUCUCUCUCACUCUAUGCGCUGCUAAGCUGCUUCACUCCUCUCAAAUUCUCCAACCUAAAUUCUCCCUCCCUCAACCCUCCCUACUUUCAGCGAAUUCCAACGAACGAAUCAAAGUACAAUCUUUCAAAUUCAGCGAAUACCUGGGAAACGAACGAAUUCCGACGAACGCUUCACAACUCUCAAAUUCCUUUGCGAACAAACGAACGAAUUCCUUUGCAAACGAACGAACGAAUCAUUUCCCAGGUAUGGUUCAACGCAAACAAACGAAUCUGAUUUGUUUCCCAGGUAUGGUUCAAUGCGAACGAACAAAUCAAAGUAUAAUCUUGUUUCCCAGGUAUGAUUCAAUGCAAAUAUUUGAUUUUCUACUUUAGUUUUCAGAUCUGAAAAUUCGUUUUUUAUUUUCAGAUCUGAAAAAUAAAAACUUAGUUCAUGCAGAUGAAAAAUAAAAUUUUAAUCAUUUCUUUUUUUAUUUUAUUUUUUGUAUCUAAUUUUUUUUGUUAAUUUUUUUGGCAUUUUUAUGUUUUAUUUUCAGAUAUGGAAUUUGUUCUCGAAGUUGUCUCCCUCAAACACAUCGAAAAACGUCGCCAUUACCAUCUUCCUUUAUUAGAUUCAGUUUUAGUUUUACAUUUUUUUUACAUAUUUACAAUAUAAUUUGUUUUGUAUACAUUGUAUAUAUUUUCUUACAUUUAUUUGUAUCUAAUAUUUACAUAUUAAUGCAAAGAUUUGUUUGUAUAUAAUAUUUACAUAUCAAUGCAAAAAUAUUGUGAUUUUAAGUCAUAUUGUGGGAAUAUUAUUUGUUUUGGAAUCUUGUUUUGGAAUCUUGUUUUGAUUUACUAGAAUGGUGAAUGAAAAUAUACAAUAUGUGAGUUUGAGAGAAAAAAAAAAGCUGAAAAUUAAAAAAACAAUGCAAAUUUUGUAAUUUGCGUCGCACCUAUUGCCACAU